GAUGAACGCUAGCGAUAGGCCUAACACAUGCAAGUCGAGGGGCAUCACAUGAGGCAGCAAUGCCGAUGGUGGCGACCGGCGCACGGGUGAGUAACACGUAUGCAACCUGCCUUCAACAAGGGGAUAACCCGUUGAAAAACGGACUAAUACCCUAUAACACAGGGGUCCCGCAUGGGAAUAUUUGUUAAAGGACAACCGGUUGAAGAUGGGCAUGCGUUCCAUUAGCUAGUUGGCGGGGUAACGGCCCACCAAGGCAACGAUGGAUAGGGGAACUGAGAGGUUUAUCCCCCACACUGGUACUGAGACACGGACCAGACUCCUACGGGAGGCAGCAGUGAGGAAUAUUGGUCAAUGGACGCAAGUCUGAACCAGCCACGUCGCGUGAAGGAAGACGGCCCUACGGGUUGUAAACUUCUUUUAUACGGGGAAUAAAGUGCCCCACGCGUGGGGUUUUGCAUGUACCGUAUGAAUAAGGAUCGGCUAACUCCGUGCCAGCAGCCGCGGUAAAUCACACUA
rnacentral:rRNA from 1 species